rnacentral:lncRNA from 9 species
UUUUUUUUUUUUUUUUUUUUUUUUGGUCUUUUCUAGGGCUGCUCCUGCAGCAUAUGGAAGUUCCCAGGCUAGGGGUCUAAUCAGAGUGGUAGCCACUGGCCUACGCCAGAGCCACAGCAACAAGAGAUCCGUGCGGCGUCUGCAACCUACAACACAGCUCAUGGGAACACUGGAGCCUUAACCCACUGAUCAAGGCCAGGGAUCGAACCCACAACCUCAUGGUUCCUAGUCGGAUUCGUUAACCACCGUGCCAUGAGAGGAACUCCUGUAUUGCUUUCUAAUGGAUUUUAAUUUUGUCUGAAUUUUGAAAAGUAAAAUAAACACCUCACAUCAUGCACAAAAAUAAACUCAAAAUCACUUAAAGACUUACAUAAAACAAGAUAUCAUAAAACUUCUAGAAGAGAACAUAGGCAAAACAUACUCUGACAUCAACCAUACCAAUGUUUUCUUAGGUCAGUUUCCCAAGGCAAUAGAAAUGAAAACAAAAAUAAACCAAUGAGCCUUAAUCAAACUUACAAGCUUUGGCACAGCAAACCAAACCAUAAAAACAACAACAACAACAACAACAAAAACCCCCAAAAGAUAACCAAUGAAAUGGGAGAAAACAGUUGCAAACAAUGCAACCAACAAGGGCUUAAUUACCAAAAUAUACAAAUAACUCAUACAACUCAACAGCAAAAAAACAAACAACCCAUUUGAAAAAUGGGCAGAAGACCUACAUAGACAUUUCUCCAAAAAAGACAUAUGGACAACCAUGGGCACAUGAAGAAAUGCUCAAUAACACUAAUUAUCAUAGAAAUGCAAAUCAAAACUACAAUGAAGUACCACCUCACACUGGUCUGAAUGGCUAUCAUUAAUUAGUCUACAAAUAACAAAUGCUGGAGAGUGUGGAGAAAAGAGAACCCUCCCACACUAUUAGUAGGAAAGUAAAUUGGUACAACCACUAUGAAAAACAUUAUGGAGGUACCUCAGAAAACUAAAUAUAGAACUACCAUAUGAUCCAGUAAUCCCACUCCUGGGGAUAUAUCUGGACCAAACCUUCAUUCAAAAAGAUACAUGCACCCCUAUGUUCACAAAAGCCAAGACGUGGAAACAAUCUAAAUGCUCAUUGACAGAUGAAUGGAUUAAAAAGAUGUGGUACAGGAGUACCCAUCAUGGCUCAGCAGAAACAAACUGAUUGGUAUCCAUGAGGAUACAGGUUUGAUCCUUGGCCUCCCUCAGUGGGUUAAGGAUCUGGUGUUGCUGUGAGCUGUGGUGUAGGUCGCAGACAUGGCUCAGAUCUUCUGUUGCUGUGGCUGUGGUGUAGGCUUGCAGCUGCAGCUCUCAUUCAACUCCCAGCCUGGGAACUUCCAUACACUAUGGGUGCAGCCCUUAAAAAAAUAUAUAUGUUGUACAUAUACACAAUGGAAUACUACUCAGUCAUAAAAAAGAACAAGACAAUGCCAUUUGUAGCAACGUGGAUGGAACUAGAGCAUCUCAUACUAAGUGAAGUAAGUGAGAAAGAGAAAGACAAAUACCAUAUGAUAUCACUUAUAUGUGGAAACUAAAACAUGGCACAAAUGAAUCUAUCUACAGAACAGAAACAAACUUAUGGACAUAGAGAACAGACUUAUGGUUGCCAAGAAGGGGAGGGAGUUCACUUGUGCCAUAUUUUGUUUUAUUUUAUUUUUUAAAUGCACUGAGUUAUGUAAGGUUCUAGCAUUUUAUCUUUUUUUUUUUUUUUUUUUUUUUUUUUUUUUGUUUUUAGGGCCACACCCAUGGCAUGUGGAGGUUCCCAGGCUGGGGGUCGAAUCGGAGCUACAGCACCUUAUGCCACAGCCACAGCACCUUACGCCACAGCCACAGCAACGCCAGAUCCGAGUCGCAUCUGCAACCUAUGCCACAGCUCACGGCAAUGCCAGAUCCUUAACCCACUGAGAGAGGCCAGGGAUUGAACCCACAACCUCAUGGUUCCUAGUCGGAUUCAUUUCCACUGCGCCAUGACGAGAAUUCCCUGUGCCAUAUUUUAGAUUCCACAUAUAAGUGAUAUCACAUGGUAUUUGUCUUUCUCUCUCAAACUUACUUUACUUACGAUAAUCUCUAGUUGCAUCCAUGUUGUUGCAAAUGGCACUAUUUAAUUCAUUUCUAUAUAUGUAUAUACAUGCCUGAGUAGUCUAUUGUAUAUAUAUAUACUAAUCUUUUUAAUCCAUUCAUCUGCCAAUGAACAUUUAGGCUGCUUCUAUGUAGAAAAACUACGUUCAAGGUACCGAUAUUUAUCUGGAUAUGAAAUGCUUGUAAAUGUACUCCUAAAACUCAUGUGAGUCUCAUAACUUUAUUGUCUUAACUUACAAAGGACUGAGGAACAGUUUGAUAUAACCAAGAGUGUGGUUCUAUCAUACUCUAUAUAUAAGAGGGAAGACUGGGGAAAAAAUAGGGGUGUAAAUGGUGGCAGAGAUGUGUGGAUAAGGCAAAAGUAGACCCAAAGAGAAGAGUAAUACAAAACAAACAAUAAAUGCCAGAGAUGGAAGCACUGUGUUAAUUAUGGCUAAAAUCAGCUAAUAGGCCCCCUUCCCCAUCUGAAGCU